GAGAAAACGAGACAGAACAGGGUGAUGUAGCUGAGGUCUGUUGUCUCAGACUCGGUCUGCCGAGCUUCGAUGAGCCGCCCGAUGUAGCGGUUGACUCGUGUUCCUGGCGAGGGCUGCACAGCUGUGGUUGAGGAGGACGUCCGACUCCUCAGCUUCUCUGGCGCCGUUCGCAGGGCUCUCCGCUGUCAGACACCAAGGAGACAACACAAUCAGUCUCCGCAGAGGCCAAGCCUGUCUGAUGUGUGACAGUUGACUGGUGUGGUGAGGCAUACCAAUGCAAAGUUUUGUGAGGUCAUGGCGUUGGAGAAGGGGAUCUCAGCCUUGAACAUCUUCCUACAGUGCAUCAGCUGCACCAACAGGUAGCACACCGUCUUGAACUUCAUCCUCUUGGCUGGUUUGAUGUCUGACAGAAUUAGACCUGGGAAGAUCUGUAAAUGAGGACGAAGAUAAUAAGAUGAACAAGAAAGAAAGAAAGUCCUAGAGGCUACUGAGAGGAAGGCAUGCCUCUCGUGGCCGAGGCCCGGCUCCACCUCGUAGUCUCCAUUCAAACACUCCAGGGUGGUCCUUGUGAUGUGCACCUUGCUGAGAGCACAAGCAGAGCAGAGGAUGCAGGGAAGUUAGUGACACUCAGGUCUCAAAUCAUUAUCCUCUUCAUUAUUUUCAUCGGCCUUCGGCUUGUUGAAAUUUUCAUGCAAACGACUUUUUUAAUCUGUUAACAAAUCCUACAAUCUUAUUACUUCACUUGAAACAAGACCAAAUUGAGCAAAUGCGGUGACCUCAUUUCACUGCUUUUUAAAUGUUAAUCAGCUCGUUACUGUACAUGAGUUUUCCCGAUUGAAGUAUUCAUUUAAUAUUAGUGGUCUGCUUUCAAUAUUCAGUGGAGAUAACACAGGAACAGGCUGAGAGGAAUAAACUGCUAGAGCUAGAGCUAGAUUUAACUAUUUGCUUAUUGCAGAUAUGUCGGUAUUGGCUUAUAACAAGAAACUGCAGUACAGAAA